UUUUUUUUUUUCGGUUCUGGAGUCCAAUUAACGCGCGGUAUAAUUACGUAUAUAUUUGGAGAAAAAAAAAUAUACCGCAACCGUACCUCUACCCGUAUGCAUGUGUACGUAUAUACGCGUAUCGUAAUAAUGUGUAAUAAUGUUAUUAUCACAAUAAACAAAUUAGACCGAUCUUCUUGUUCUCCGCGCAUUGUAAUACAGUUGAUUAAUUUUUUUUUGUUUUUCGAAUUUUUCUAGAUAAUUUCCGCCGUUUCGUAAUACGCGCGCGCGCACGAAGUUGUUAUUACGUUAAAAUCGACCGGUGUGAAUUCGUCUUCGAGGAAAUCCGACGGCCGGCGUAAUUUUAAAAUUAGCUUCUGACACACGAUCAACUUAUCGUUUAUUAUGUAUCUGCUUCGGUGCCGGCGGAGGAGGGCUUAAGUCAAUUUUUG